GCAUGGUUGUCGUCAGCUCGUGUCGUGAGAUGUUGGGUUAAGUCCCGCAACGAGCGCAACCCUUGUCUUAUGUUGCCAGCACGUGAUGGUGGGGACUCAUGAGAGACUGCCGGGGUCAACUCGGAGGAAGGUGGGGAUGACGUCAAAUCAUCAUGCCCCUUAUGUCCAGGGCUUCACACAUGCUACAAUGGUCGGUACAGCAGGUUGCGAACUCGUGAGGGGGAGCCAAUCCUUUAAAGCCGGCCUCAGUUCGGAUUGGGGUCUGCAACUCCACCCCCUGAAGUCGGAGUCGCUAGUAAUCGCAGAUCAGCAACGCUGCGGUGAAUACGUUCCCGGGCCUUG
rnacentral:rRNA from 1 species